GAUGAACGCUGGCGGCGCGCCUAACACAUGCAAGUCGAACGGUUAAGCCACCUUCGGGUGGGAAUAAAGUGGCGAACGGCUGAGUAACACGUGGGCAACCUGCCCCUCGCACCGGGACAGCCUCGGGAAACCGUGGAUGAUACCGGAUACUCCGCCUCCCCCGCAUGGGGAGGGCGGGAAAGCCCAGACGGCGAGGGAUGGGCCUGCGGCCUGUUAGCUAGUUGGCGGGGCAGCGGCCCACCAAGGCGAUGAUGGGUAGCCGGGUUGAGAGACCGACCGGCCAGAUUGGGACUGAGACACGGCCCAGACUCCUACGGGAGGCAGCAGUGGGGAAUCUUGCACAAUGGGCGGAAGCCUGAUGCAGCGACGCCGCGUGCGGGACGAAGGCCUUCGGGCUGUAAACCGCUUUCAGCAGGGACGAGGCGAAAGUGACGGUACCUGCAGAAGAAGCCCCGGCUAACUACGUGCCAGCAGCCGCGGUAAUACGUAGGGGGCAAGCGUUAUCCGGAUUCAUUGGGCGUAAAGCGCGCGUAGGCGGCCAGCCUGGUCGGGAGUCAAAUCCGGGGGCUCAACCCCCGUCCGCUCCCGAUACCGGCCGGCUUGAGUCUGGCAGGGGAAGGCGGAAUUCCCGGUGUAGCGGUGGAAUGCGCAGAUAUCGGGAAGAACACCGGUGGCGAAGGCGGCCUUCUGGGCCACGACUGACGCUGAGGCGCGAAAGCUAGGGGAGCGAACAGGAUUAGAUACCCUGGUAGUCCUAGCCGUAAACGAUGG
rnacentral:rRNA from 1 species